rnacentral:rRNA from 1 species
AUUGAACGCUGGCGGCAGGCCUAACACAUGCAAGUCGAACGGUAACAGGACUCAGCUUGCUGCUUUGCUGCCGAGUGGCGGACGGGUGAGUAAUGUCUGGGCAACUGCCUGAUGGAGGGGGAUAACUACUGGAAACGGUAGCUAAUACCGCAUAACGUCGCAAGACCAUAUUGAGGGCCCUUCUGGCUUCUUGUCAUCCUACGUGCGCAUAUGGGAUUAGUUAGAUGGUGGGGUAAAGGGUCACCUAGGCGACGCUCCCUAGCUGGUCUGAGAGGAUGACCAGCCACACUGGAACUGAGACACGGUCCAGACUCCUACGUGAGGCAGCAGUGGGGAAUAUUGCACAAGGGGCGCAAGCCUGAUGCAGCCAAGCCGCGUGUAUGAAGAAGGCCUUCGGGUUGUAAAGUACUUUCAGCGGGGAGGAAGGGAGUAAAGUUAAUACCUUUGCUCAUUGACGGUACCCGCAGAAGAAGCACCGGCUAACUCCGUG